rnacentral:rRNA from 1 species
UACGUAGGGAGCAAGCGUUGUCCGGAUUUACUGGGUGUAAAGGGUGCGUAGGCGGCACUGCAAGUCAGGCGUGAAAUAUAUGGGCUUAACCCAUAGACUGCGUUUGAAACUGUGGUGCUUGAGUGAAGUAGAGGUAGGCGGAAUUCCCGGUGUAGCGGUGAAAUGCGUAGAGAUCGGGAGGAACACCAGUGGCGAAGGCGGCUUACUGGGCUUUAACUGACGCUGAGGCACGAAAGCAUGGGUAGCAAACAGG